GACGAACGCUGGCGGCGUGCUUAACACAUGCAAGUCGAGCGGAAAGGCCCUUCGGGGUACUCGAGCGGCGAACGGGUGAGUAACACGUGCGUAAUCUGCCCUUGGCUUUGGGAUAACUACCGGAAACGGUGGCUAAUACCGGAUACGACAACCGUCUGCAUGGGCUGGUUGUGGAAAGUUUUUUCGGCCAGGGAUGUGCUCGCGGCCUAUCAGCUUGUUGGUGGGGUAAUGGCCUACCAAGGCCUCGACGGGUAGCCGGCCUGAGACGGUGACCGGCCAAACUGGGACUCAGACACGGCCGAGACGCCGACGGGAGGAAGCAGGGGGGAAUAGUGGACAAUUGGCGGAAGCCUGAUCCAGCAACGCCGCGGGAGGGAUGACGGCAUUCGGGUUGUAGACCUCAUUAAGGACCGACGAAGCGCCGAUGAUGGUGGUGACGGUAGGUACAGAAGAAGCACCGGCCAACUACGUG
rnacentral:rRNA from 1 species